rnacentral:rRNA from 1 species
CCGAUAACGAACGAGACCUUAACCUGCUAAAUAGCCAGGCCGGCUUUUGCUGGUCGCCGGCUUCUUAGAGGGACUGUCAGCGUCUAGCUGACGGAAGUUUGAGGCAAUAACAGGUCUGUGAUGCCCUUAGAUGUUCUGGGCCGCACGCGCGCUACACUGACAGGGCCAGCGAGUACUUAUAUCCUUGGCCGGAAGGUCUGGGUAAUCUUGUGAAACCCUGUCGUGCUGGGGAUAGGGCAUUGCAAUG